UCCCUGGUGACUCAAUAGGUUAAGAAUCUGGCAUUGUCACUGCUAUGGCACAGGUUCACUCCCUGGCCAGGGAA
rnacentral:tRNA from 1 species